CUCACAGCUCGGGCCAUCUCUGUUGUUUUCCUUCCCCUCGGCGCCUCUGCCUUUCGGCGACAGACCCUUUCAGCCGCCUCUGGAACCAGGAGCCGUGACAGGAGCCCCAUCCCCUCAAUCCUGCGCGUCCCGGAAGCCUAGGACACCGGCCACAACAAAUGCUAAGUCUUUUGUUCCAUCGAGGAAUGAUCUUCUCGCUCUGGAGCCGACUCUUGCCGGUCAGAGCUCGGCGUCCCAGCCUUUCAGGCUUUCGGCCAGUUGCUCAGCUCCAAUUUUCGCCCCCGAAACACAAGGCUAUUUCUGUGAGGUGUCAGUCGUCAGUAGCAAGACACGACCCACGUGAAAUGCGUUGUUCGCAUAAAUACACACGUUUUAUACACCCCACGGGACAGACACGCACUCAGGAGCCAGCGGCCGAGGGCCCGUCUCAGGGGUUUCCACCCCGGUCCGCAAAGAGCCACUACAGCUGAUGUCUAAAAUAAGGUCAUGAUCUCGCGGCUCG